GACGAACGCUGGCGGCGUGCUUAACACAUGCAAGUCGAACGCUGAAGCUUGGUGCUUGCACUGGGUGGAUGAGUGGCGAACGGGUGAGUAAUAAGUGAGUAACCUGCCCUUGACUCUGGGAUAAGCCUGGGAAACUGGGUCUAAUACUGGAUACGACAUGUCACCGCAUGGUGGUGUGUGGAAAGGGUUUUACUGGUUUUGGAUGGGCUCACGGCCUAUCAGCUUGUUGGUGGGGUAAUGGCUCACCAAGGCGACGACGGGUAGCCGGCCUGAGAGGGUGGCCGGCCACACUGGGCCUGAGACACGGCCCAGACUCCUACGGGAGGCAGCAGUGGGGAAUAUUGCACAAUGGGCGGAAGCCUGAUGCAGCGACGCCGCGUGAGGGAUGACGGCCUUCGGGUUGUAAACCUCUUUCAGCACGGAAGAAGCGAAAGUGACGGUACGUGCAGAAGAAGCGCCGGCUAACUACGUG
rnacentral:rRNA from 1 species